AGGGACCGACGCCUGGAAGCCGCAGCGCCCCUAGGGGGGGUGGGGGGGGCUGUGCAGGCGCCCACGGGGAUGCUCCAGCCCCGGCCCGUGGCCUGGCUCCCGAGGUUCCCUGUGCUGAUUGCGGAGCUGUGAGGAGAGAAACUGAGGCACAGCAGAACUUUCAAAAGCGUACUUGAGCAAAAGCCAGGCCCCCACGGCAUUGCAGCCACAUCCGUCCAACGGCCACCUUGCUUGAUUCGUUUAACAGCUGAAACCCAAAACCUUCGGAGUUUCGCAUCCAUCGAUUCCAGCCUGAAUAACUGUAUGGCAAGCGGUAAAGGUAGAAAUACUUUGAACUCCUGAAUAAAGACACGGAGAGAGAGAGGCAGAGACACAGGCAGAGGGAGAAGCAGGCUCCAUGCAGGGAGCUCAACGUGGGACUCGAUCCCAGGAAUAAACUCCUCAUGGAUUCUUAAGGCUUUGGGAGUCAACAGAGGAACUCCAUUCUUUGGAACUUCAGAGUGACAAGUGAACCCUGGCUGAAGGGGCAAACACAGAUUCAACUGUUGUUGGACAGAUUGCCAGAGGAAAAACCAAGUGUUCUGCUGUUAGAAUACACAGAAGUGAGAAUGAGCCAAAGAACCAGAAGCCAACCAGAAAAACGAGAGCUGUGAGUUCUGCGCCAACACCUCCAGAAGGGCCUUGGUACUACUUGAAGGACUUCUCCAAGGACAGAAGAUUCUUUCUAUCUCAUAAAAAAGCUGGAUGCCCCCGAAGGACGAAAGAGGAGAGACAGUGAAGUCUGAAGCAACAGUAUUUUGGUUCUGAAGGAAUCCAUUCUAAAGGGUGAUAGUAAAGAAAAACAAAGCAUAUUAAAAUGACAGUUGAUAUGUGAAAGGUAAGUACCUUCUUGUGGUGGGAUAAAUGAUGCCCGGGUAGAGCUAGAAGACCUGUGGAAAGCAAAGCAUCAAAAGAUGGUGAGGUAGGACUUAGUUGCUGGUAUAGUCUUCCAUACCUUUUUUGAAUGCAUAUCCUACUACAUAAGUUUUCAAGCACAGUUAUGAAAGGAAAAAAAUGUGAAUAUUUAACUUUAAUUGAAGGGAUUUUUAAUAAGCCUUGAAAAUGGUGCUUAAUUCCACCCUAUACUUUACUGUAUCCUCCUCUAAGAGCACAGAUUCUCAGUCACAGCAGUGUUUUAAAGACUCAAUGUAUUAUGUAAUGGAUUAUAAGGCUAUAAAUAAUGUCAUAAAUAAAACCAAUGUAAUUAUAUCACAACAGAGGCUAAGAAUCCAUCCGUAAACUACCAAACGAUCCAGCUGAAGGGACAUAUGUUUUCCUUAAGAUAAUGAAGUAUAGAAUGUGUGAAAUGUAUUUUGCAAGCUUUUAUGUAUGUCAAACUUCAGGGAAGCUAUAUGUUUUCCAUGAAAGAUAUAAAGGAUUUCUUUCUUGAAAAAAAUUAGAAGCAGAAAAAAAUUUAACUUAUUUCAGUCAUGAGUAUGCCAUAGCUAAAUUAAAAUCCACAGUUUUAUAUCUGGUAUUCAAGAAGAGUGUUUCAGAUUGAAGAACUUUCAGCUAUUUGUUUAAACAUGGAUCUUAAAUCACUCCGAGAUUUUCUUGGAUAGCAAAACAUAGUGGAAUUUACAGAUGUUAGCCUGAAAAUUAGUAACUAUGUCUCUCCUAUUAGUGAUGGGAAAACUUGAUGACCUGGAUUCCUUUCAAAUGGAAAAAAGAGAGGAACAAUGACAACUAGAUUCACCUCUUGCCUGCACUUUAUAUAAAUAGGAUUACACUACCCAGAGCUUCAAACUCACUCACAAAGGGAAACUAGGAUAUGAAGCUAUCUUGUAAGCAAUCACACACAGGUAGCAGGACUAAGUCUAGAAGUACUACUCUGUGUAUUUCCCUCCGUAUCUUCAAGCAUUUCUUUGGGACUUUAAGCUUCUUUCAUCCUGUCUCUCACCGUACAUAAGCAGCAAAGAAUAAGUACUUAGAGAAAAUGUCACCUUAAUAAAAUGAAAGAUUCUAACAUGUACUUGGAGAGCAAAGAUAAUUUUAGAACUGAGGUAAAUGGGGGGAAGGAGAAACCGGUAGCAUAGGGGAGAUGUAGUAUGAAAGGCAGGAGUGGAGAAUGGUUAUUGACAUAAAAAAGGAUACAGGUUCUAAAACAUUACUGCUUCUGCAUCACUAUCUACUCAUGGCCUCUGAUAUGCUUGCCAUCAGUUGGAAUCCUUAAGCUCACCUGAAUAUGAGCUUAAGGAUGUCCUGGGCAUUCUGUAUGGCAGUAGGAUAUGGAACAAAAAAUUCUCAAUCCCAUUUUAUGGAGGAAUUGAAUAAAACUAGUUUGGAAUUUUCCUGUAAGCCAGGUCAUUGUUGUACUCUAUGCUAUUUGAUAAUUACCAUUUAAAUGACCUGUUAGUUCCAAACAUGUGAGGACUUCCGUUGAUGAAAAUAUUUACAAAUAUUUUAAAAAAUUAUUUAUUUUUAAACACAGUGUGCUGCCAUAGUACAGUCCCAUAGAGGUUCUCCUCAAGCCAAAGAAAGGGAGUGAAUUAGCUUCUUAAAAAAAAAAAUAAAAUAAACAAAUAAAAAACCUUACAUUCUUUUCUGUGAACAAAAAA